UCCUUCUUUUCACGUUGCUCUAAAAGUUUUUACUGAAUCUUACGAUUCGCCAUUUAGAAAAUGAGCUUUGUAACUCACGGUUCCAAUCUCGAUUUGACAGCAUAGCAAGUUCUAGACGGUAUAAAACCAGAAACCAUACCUUUACUGCAACUGUAUGUGUAACACAUGCCAGAACCCCUUUCACCAGCUCGAAGAUCUGCUUCCAACACUCUCCCUACAGGACCUGCUGCAGCGCUGCAACCGGCACCGAGAGAAAAGUGCAUGCGACUACAAAAUGUCUUCACAGCCUUGUAAUCAUGGAGUA